CAGCAGCCGCGGUAAUACGUAGGGUGCAAGCGUUAAUCGGAAUUACUGGGCGUAAAGCGUGCGCAGGCGGUUUGUUAAGACAGAUGUGAAAUCCCCGGGCUCAACCUGGGAACUGCAUUUGUGACUGGCAAGCUAGAGUAUGGCAGAGGGGGGUGGAAUUCCGCGUGUAGCAGUGAAAUGCGUAGAUAUGCGGAGGAACACCGAUGGCGAAGGCAGCCCCCUGGGCCAAUACUGACGCUCAUGCACGAAAGCGUGGGGAGCAAACAGGAUUAGAUACCCGCGUAGUCCCUGUCUCUUAUAC
rnacentral:rRNA from 1 species